UGGGGAAUAUUGCACAAUGGGCGCAAGCCUGAUGCAGCCAUGCCGCGUGUAUGAAGAAGGCCUUCGGGUUGUAAAGUACUUUCAGCGGGGAGGAAGGGAGUAAAGUUAAUACCUUUGCUCAUUGACGUUACCCGCAGAAGAAGCACCGGCUAACUCCGUGCCAGCAGCCGCGGUAAUACGGAGGGUGCAAGCGUUAAUCGGAAUUACUGGGCGUAAAGCGCACGCAGGCGGUUUGUUAAGUCAGAUGUGAAAUCCCCGGGCUCAACCUGGGAACUGCAUCUGAUACUGGCAAGCUUGAGUCUCAUAGAGGGGGGUAGAAUUCCAGGUGUAGCGGUGAAAUGCGUAGAGAUCUGGAGGAAUACCGGUGGCGAAGGCGGCCCCCUGGACGAAGACUGACGCUCAGGUGCGAAAGCGUGGGGAGCAAACAGG
rnacentral:rRNA from 1 species